rnacentral:rRNA from 1 species
GUGGGGAAUCUUAGACAAUGGGGGCAACCCUGAUCUAGCCAUGCCGCGUGAGUGAUGAAGGCCUUAGGGUCGUAAAGCUCUUUCGCUGGGGAAGAUAAUGACGGUACCCAGUAAAGAAACCCCGGCUAACUCCGUGCCAGCAGCCGCGGUAAUACGGAGGGGGUUAGCGUUGUUCGGAAUUACUGGGCGUAAAGCGCGCGUAGGCGGAUUGGAAAGUUGGGGGUGAAAUCCCGGGGCUCAACCCCGGAACUGCCUUUGAAACUCCCAGUCUUGAGUUCGAGAGAGGUGAGUGGAAUUCCGAGUGUAGAGGUGAAAUUCGUAGAUAUUCGGAGGAACACCAGUGGCGAAGGCGGCUCACUGGCUCGAUACUGACGCUGAGGUGCGAAAGCGUGGGGAGCAAACAGGAUUAGAAACCCUGGUAGUCC